rnacentral:rRNA from 1 species
AACGAACGCUGGCGGCAUGCCUAACACAUGCAAGUCGAACGAAGCCUUCGGGCUUAGUGGCGCACGGGUGCGUAACGCGUGGGAACCUACCAUCAGGUUCGGAAUAACAGUUAGAAAUGACUGCUAAUACCGGAUAAUGUCUUCGGACCAAAGAUUUAUCGCCUUUUGAUGGGCCCGCGUUGGAUUAGCUAGUUGGUGGGGUAAAGGCCUACCAAGGCGACGAUCCAUAGCUGGUCUGAGAGGAUGAUCAGCCACACUGGGACUGGGACACGGCCCAGACUCCUACGGGAGGCAGCAGUGGGGAAUAUUGGACAAUGGGCGAAAGCCUGAUCCAGCAAUGCCGCGUGAGUGAUGAAGGCCUUAGGGUUGUAAAGCUCUUUUACCAGGGAUGAUAAUGACAGUACCUGGAGAAUAAGCUCCGGCUAACUCCGUGCCAGCAGCCGCGGUAAAGUCUGUACU